AUCCUUUAAUCUACUGCUUCCCCAAUUUUAAUAUGCAGGCGAGUCACCUGGGAGUCUAUUAAAAUGCAGAUCAAGUGCAGCUUGAAGUCUCCUUUCUAACAAGCUCUCAGAGCUUUCACAGGAGUCUUGUUGCUGGGGACAGAGUAUGUUGUAGAGCAAGAUAAUACAUUGGUGAGUAUACUUGAUGCUUUAGAAGUAAAUGGAAAACACUCCCCGCAAAAACAUUUCCUU
rnacentral:lncRNA from 1 species